rnacentral:rRNA from 1 species
GACGGAGGGGGCAAGUGUUGUUCGGAAUUACUGGGCGUAAAGGGCGCGCAGGCGGUCAUGCAAGUCGGGGGUGAAAGCCCACGGCUUAACGGUGGAAUUGCCUUCGAAACUGCAUGACUUGAGUACGGAAGAGGAGAGCGGAAUUCCCAGUGUAGCGGUGAAAUGCGUAGAUAUUGGGAGGAACACCAGUGGCGAAGGCGGCUCUCUGGUCCGAUACUGACGCUGAGGCGCGAAAGCCAGGGGAGCAAACGGG